UGGUGAGGUUCUCAUGCACCGGCAAGCACACCUUAGAAUUUCUCCCAGGGUAUAAGACGAGUGCAGAACCCUAAGUGAUGGAAUCAAACUACUUGAUCUUAUCUGAGCGGGGGCGACGCCGCCGGAUUAUCUCCCUCCUCUGCCCUCUCUGAAGGGUCGCCCUGCUACCCUCUCCAGAACCGCUGGUUUUGGGGCUGCCGGCGGCGGGGCGGCGAAGAGAGAGAGAGAUGCUUUCGUUGGCAUCCCCUGCGAUGAAGACUGCCCGCCGUCAGAGCCCUUUUGCUUGAUCCGGCGAUGAUGGUCGCGCGGGCUAAACCCUAAACCCUAUUAAUUUAUAUUCGUUCUAAUUUUUGGAAUAGAUAUGUAGCCUUAGUUUACAUUUCCUAUGUUGAGAUCCGUAAAUUAGAUUGGCUUUGACAACUUGGGAAUUCAUUUUUCUUCCUCUCGCCGAUGAUUCAAUUUUUUCUGGUUGCUGUAGUUUGCAAGAGGCAACUGUGCGUUGGGCCGAGUCCUGUCCUCUGUCGGCCGCAUCCAUGCUUUGUGUUUAUCUUGUUGAUAGUGGAGCUGUUUCUUCUUGCUAUAUCUUUUACUGAUGCUCACAUAUGUUAUUUAUUGUUGAUUGUGGUUGAAUUUAGUUUCUAACUAUUUGGAUUGGCUUGGCCCAUCAACACACACGAAAGCACCAUUUUGUGGAUAUACUUGUUGGAGAUGUCAUUCUGGCCAUUUCUGUUUAUAAUUCUAGGCGGAAAAAAAAAAGUCAACAAUAAUGGGAUUUGAUGGAGUUGGGGCGGUAUGAGAAAAGAGGAGAGGGAGAGAGAUGGGAAGGAAGUGAAAGAUAAAAGAGUUGUUAUAACAAAUUAUGUUGCAGUGAUAGUCAUGUGAUUUUGGUUUAAUUCCCAGAUUUUCACUUUACAUGUUUCUUUCUAUUGAUCUAAAGAGAAGCCUGAAAAAAUAGGGUUGAGAAGACAAUUUUCUGGUCUUCAAAACUGUUAAUAGCAUGCAAUUUGAUGGUCUAAUCUUGUUUUAAAAACUUCAAUAUUAUUAUUCCUAAAUGAAAUCACCCCAAAAUUUAGAUCCUAUAUGCUAUUUUGGCAUUAAAAGAAUUAAUAUUCAUUUUGAAGUUUGGCUUUAACUUAAUGGCCAUUACUUUGUAUCCUAAGAUAUAGUCUGUAGUAUGUCUUUGUUUUUUCAUCAAAAAACAGAUGCAGCUUCAUGGUUUACUCUAGAUUUUUAUGCAUUGAUUUACAGCUUCUCUUUUCGCAAAGCGGACCACUCCAGGGGUUGCAUGGGUGGGUGAUGAUGUUGCAGUUUCUAGUAACAAGAUCUGUUUAAUUUUGUUUUUUACAUGUUAUAUUUUUGGACAGAAUGAGCAGCUUCUUGGGGUUGGAACAGUAAAUAUUUCUUGUACAUUAAACAUCUAAGGUGAAUUCUUGAGUGCAGGAUCAUUGCAGAUUUUGAUGGAGCUUGCAAGUUCUCUCACCGGCUCACCCGCAGGCAGUUGCUAUUUUUGUAUUUGAUUCUUGACAUGCAAAAGCAGCUGAUGGGAGCUUAUCGUCAAUGUUCAUAUUGGAGAUGGGACUAUCGAACGUGGAUGAUUGGAUGGGUUCUACAACUUCUUCUCGUUUAUUGAUAAAAGUAGCGGAGAAUGCUUCAUUUUUCAAAGUGCACAUGCUAUGUAAUUGUAUUAGCCCCAACUGCAAGGGAGUGGGGAUGAAGAAUAUGGAGGUAUAAGGCUUUAUUGAACUUUAUAAGGGGCUUCAUGCAUUGGGUUGUGUAGAUGCAUCCAUUAGCUAGUUUAUAAUAGCCGCCAUAUUUUGUAAGCAUCUGAUGUAGUAUGCCAAAUUACAAGUUGCUGAGAUAGAGCUAAGGAUAUAUCAUGAUUUGGAAUUCCCCUUCGCAUUAUUUGGUGGACCCAUUUCUAAUGGAAAUAUAGCUGUUUCUAUAGAAUUUAAGAUAAAUUUAUACUUUGGAGAGAUUAGGGAUUUUUCAAUUGCCAUAGGUGUUGAUCAAAGGUUUGCAAGUCCUUAUAUUUUUUCUAGUGGUGGACAAAUUUACUAAAGAGGGUCGAAGAUGAGGUUUUAUGGUGUUGAUCACAGAUGUUGUAAUUUUGAUUGAUUAAACUUUAUAGUAAAAAUAUUAUUUGCUUU